rnacentral:lncRNA from 1 species
ACUACCUUUUAUUAUUUGAAAGGUACGGAUCAUAUGUAUCUAAAUAUUUUCAACAUGCAAACUAUAGAAUUUUUAUUUUUAAAACUCAGAACUAUUUGUUUUCUUUGGCAUCAUAGUUAAAGGUGCAACAGUUGUUCUACAUCAUCACAUCAGAAGAAUAUCACGAAGGUUCCGUAGAAUUAAGGAACUGGAUGUGCAGCAGUCAAACACCAAUAUGCUUAGGAGGCAUAGCACUAGAAAAUGACUGCAACAAUAUUUUGGUAGUAUUUCCACCGGAGGUUGGACAUAUGUAGGCAUACGAAUCAAUGCCUGAUACAUUUAUCUUUCAUAUACAGAAUUCUAUUGAAAAUUUGGAAGGAUAGUCUUUCCCACAAAUAAAGGGAGUUUCGGUAUUUGGCAUCUAACUACGAAGCAUAUCGAGUUCUAUAGGUUAGUGCAAGCAUACCUGCUUUUUCAGGAUCAUGACAAAACUGCGAUGGAAUCAGCAAUAGGAUUCCCCAAGCAUGACAUUUUCUAGCUACUAAAUUUGAAGAUAAUGCGACUUUUAUACACUUUUUUCUAUAGCAAAUGCACAGAAUUUUUUAUUUUUUUUUUAUGCCAAAAUCUUGUAGCAAGUUUGAGUUGGGAGUACCUCAAUCGCCAAGAGAGAAGUUAUGUAU